GUGCCUUGAAAGUUAUAUUGCCAUCGGUGUGGACUUGCUCUUCAUCCACUUUAUCAGAUCUAUCUGGUCUUUUCUUCAAUAAGGUUUCCAUUUUCUCCUAGUCACGGUUACAUUAAGUACUGAGAAGAAAGUACCUGUUCAACACCACCACCACAGAAGACCUGGCACUACGCACUGGAGCGUUCCCUUCAACAGGAUAGAGUCUGGACAUGGAGGAAAUGUAAUGGAGAAGACCAAGGGAGACAGAAAAAGUUUAUUUUCGAACGUGUCAACACACUUCUGAAAAGGUUACACAUAUGAACUAAGACCAGCAAGCAGUCUGAGAAGUAGAAGCAGGUUUGGGUUCUGGAGAACCACAAUAAAGAGGUUUUCAGGGGAAUGACCGAAGUCACAAAGCAAGACAGACUGAGUCAGGAUGAAAUCUGAAACAGACACCAGCAACAAACAGUUUACUGCUGUUGUUCAGUUGCCAAGUGGGUGUUUCGAUUAAAAUAGGAGAUCCGCCAAGAUCUGUUUAUAUGAACCUAUGGGAGGAGAGCUCUGAAGUGGAAAUGGCCCCUGUUCGCCUAAGACUGUUGCUAUUAUUUUUGCCAAGAGACUAUUGACUUCAAACUCUGUGAUUGAAAGACUACCACGAAUUCAAGGUAUUACAGACAACAAGCAGAACUUGCACGGCUGGCAUGUGUUCUAUACUCCUUGCCUCAUUGAAAAGUGCCCUAGAGUCUUUUUUAUUGCUGGCAUCAUGGCUAAACAUCCCAAGAAAGUCAGAACUGAUGGUAGAUACGGAACUCAUCUAUGGUGCAUCGCUCAGAAAAAAUUAUGAAGAAAACUGAAACUAGCAGCAUACCAAAUAUUCUUACUCCUUCUGCUGUAAGACCAAUAAAGAAAUGAACCAUGGGGAACUUGCAUUGUGGAUCCUGUAUGGAAAA